rnacentral:misc_RNA from 1 species
CAACCCUCGGUCCCGCCUUUGCAGGUGGAACCGGCGUUGGGGACCGGCCUCCUCCGGGAGGGUCGCCCCCGAAGCACAUCGGCGGUCCCGCCGCGGCCUUCUGUGCGUAGUAACUCACCUCGCACUGGAGAGCGGCGCGGCCACGCCGUCAAACAGACGAAUUCCUCAAGG